GGUCCUUCCCGUUAAAGUAAUAACAGCAGAAAUGGGAGCCUUAAAGCCUGCUGAUUUUUGACUAAGUCGUUGUCAAGGGUAAUCUGGGGCAUGUUAAAUAAGCCAUGGCUUUUAUGAAAGACGAAAAUGAUGUGAUAUCGAAAGAAUGUCAAGUUUUACAUGAAUAAAUAUGAAUAAAAUAAUUAGCUAUGAAGUCAUGGAUCAGGAUAAACUGGUUCUCUCAGCAACAUUUGUGAAAAGUAGCUGAGUUAGAACCCGCUAGACAACCCGUUCUCAAGUUCUCAUGAGCUAUACCUCAGGUAGUUGAAAGUCGGAAGCUCGGCCUCCUAAUCAAACCCAGCAAGGAUGCCUGGGCCACUAUUCGAGUGUUGCAAGCCUAUAUGACUAAGUUCUACCUCUGGAAGCAACGACGAUAGGGUUUAAGGAAUGCAAGUGAGCCUAAUGCAGAGGUCUUCCUGAUGAUCUUCACUUGCUGCAAUUUCAUUUUCCAUCAGGUCAGGGCCUGUCCAGCAGGCCACUGACUGUGUUCUCACUGGUGCUUAAUGGAAAACCAGCCAGAGUUCUCUUCCAGGAGGCGUGCACUGUGCAGACUCCACUAGCAAUUGCCCCAUACCACACCUGUGUUCUGUUGUCUUUGUUUGGGUUAAUUCUACUAACAAUGAAAUCUCGUAUUAUUUUGCGGAUAAUCAUUUUGCAUCCUCCCAGGGAUCAGCUUUGAUACAAAAAGACUGACAUGAGUAGUGGGAAGAGCCCUGGCCCUUCCUAGGAUGCCUAAACACUGCUGUAUGGACUUGGGAAGUUACAGAUGCAACAUGACUGGGUCUCAAUAUCUCUAGCUUGAAAUUUUUGAAAAUGACAAUGAUAGCUCCACUUGGAAUUGAUAGGAAGA
rnacentral:lncRNA from 1 species